rnacentral:lncRNA from 1 species
GAGGUACUUGUGGACAUUUGUCUCUGUGCUGAUUCUAGGCCCCAUCACUGAUUUGAUACACGUAGCUGUGAGGGACCUAGAAGUUCUAAGUUGCGUAGAGCAGAGACCAUAUCUAGGCUCUGGAGCAAGUAACCAGUCAGUCCAUUCUGCCCCUUCUGUUGGAAGGCGUGAAGUCUAUGUGACAUGCAGUGGGUCUCAGUCUUGUCUUUAUCCUGGGCAGUCACACAGAGUCACUUCUACAUGCUUAUCUCUGUCCACAGUGAACACAUGUGGUUUCUGCCUUGCAGAGAUCCACUCCAACCUCAUGUGGGUUUGUUGUGUGGAAGAGCCUGGGAGACAUACAGGAUGUCCUGAUUCUAUAGCCCUCUCCCUUGCCAAGCCUCUUCAACUUUCCACAGACUAAUCCAGCACAAGUUGGUGACAGACAGGCUGUUGUGGAAGCAAGAGUUGGUUUAUCAUGGGCAAUAGCAAUGAAGUAAUAGGCUCUUACCCUUGAGUGUCUGUUACCCUUGAGCUCUGGGGUCUAUGUCUUUUUCAGUGAGAAAAGCUCGCUGGAGAUUACUGUUGCACCUGACCUGUGUCUUAACGGGCAAGUCCAAAGAUGCUGGCCUCCUGUCACUUAGGUGAGCAAUGAUGUGUGAAAAGGGUUGGUGAGCUGAAAGGUUUGCCUCUGACACACAUCUUUGCACAGUAGUGUCUGGUGUUCGUCCAGAGCAUCAACUCCAAAACACCUCCCAAAGUCCCCUUCCAACUGUUUGCUUUCCCUGCCCUCUAAUAAGCUGACUAUUUUGAGAGUAUUAAGAAGAAAACUCUCUGGGGCGUUUUCCUGGCCGUCCAUCUCAGUGUGCAUGUAUAAGUGGUGCACAAGCGGAGUUCUUUAGAGUCCAGUAGAGCUUCUGCUCUGCAGAGGCUACUGAGCCACCAGGCCUC